UACAGAGGUCUCAAGCGUUGUUCGGAUUCAUUGGCGUAAAGGGUGUGUAGGUGGCGCCGUAAGUCGGGUGUGAAAUUUCGGAGCUUAACUCCGAAACUGCAUUCGAUACUGCGGUGCUUGAGGACUGGAGAGGAGACUGGAAUUCAUGGUGUAGCAGUGAAAUGCGUAGAGAUCAUGAGGAAGACCAGUGGCGAAGGCGGGUCUCUGGACAGUUCCUGACACUGAGACACGAAGGCCAGGGGAGCAAACGGG
rnacentral:rRNA from 1 species